GCGGCGUGCCUAAUACAUGCAAGUCGAACGCUUCUUUUCCCACCGGAGCUUGCUCCACCGGGAAAAGAGGAGUGGCGAACGGGUGAGUAACACGUGGGUAACCUGCCCAUCAGAAGGGGAUAACACUUGGAAACAGGUGCUAAUACCGUAUAACAAUCGAAACCGCAUGGUUUCGUUUUGAAAGGCGCUUUACGGUGCCGCUGAUGGAUGGACCCGCGGUGCAUUAGCUAGUUGGUGAGGUAACGGCUCACCAAGGCCACGAUGCAUAGCCGACCUGAGAGGGUGAUCGGCCACAUUGGGACUGAGACACGGCCCAAACUCCUACGGGAGGCAGCAGUAGGGAAUCUUCGGCAAUGGACGAAAGUCUGACCGAGCAACGCCGCGUGAGUGAAGAAGGUUUUCGGAUCGUAAAACUCUGUUGUUAGAGAAGAACAAGGGUGAGAGUAACUGUUCACCCCUUGACGGUAUCUAACCAGAAAGCCACGGCUAACUACGUGCCAGCAGCCGCGGUAAUACGUAGGUGGCAAGCGUUGUCCGGAUUUAUUGGGCGUAAAGCGAGCGCAGGCGGUUUCUUAAGUCUGAUGUGAAAGCCCCCGGCUCAACCGGGGAGGGUCAUUGGAAACUGGGAGACUUGAGUGCAGAAGAGGAGAGUGGAAUUCCAUGUGUAGCGGUGAAAUGCGUAGAUAUAUGGAGGAACACCAGUGGCGAAGGCGGCUCUCUGGUCUGUAACUGACGCUGAGGCUCGAAAGCGUGGGGAGCAAACAGGAUUAGAUACCCUGGUAGUCCACGCCGUAAACGAUGAGUGCUAAGUGUUGGAGGGUUUCCGCCCUUCAGUGCUGCAGCUAACGCAUUAAGCACUCCGCCUGGGGAGUACGACCGCAAGGUUGAAACUCAAAGGAAUUGACGGGGGCCCGCACAAGCGGUGGAGCAUGUGGUUUAAUUCGAAGCAACGCGAAGAACCUUACCAGGUCUUGACAUCCUUUGACCACUCUAGAGAUAGAGCUUCCCCUUCGGGGGCAAAGUGACAGGUGGUGCAUGGUUGUCGUCAGCUCGUGUCGUGAGAUGUUGGGUUAAGUCCCGCAACGAGCGCAACCCUUAUUGUUAGUUGCCAUCAUUUAGUUGGGCACUCUAGCAAGACUGCCGGUGACAAACCGGAGGAAGGUGGGGAUGACGUCAAAUCAUCAUGCCCCUUAUGACCUGGGCUACACACGUGCUACAAUGGGAAGUACAACGAGUCGCGAAGUCGCGAGGCUAAGCUAAUCUCUUAAAGCUUCUCUCAGUUCGGAUUGUAGGCUGCAACUCGCCUACAUGAAGCCGGAAUCGCUAGUAAUCGCGGAUCAGCACGCCGCGGUGAAUACGUUCCCGGGCCUUGUACACACCGCCCGUCACACCACGAGAGUUUGUAACACCCGAAGUCGGUGAGGUAACCUUUUUGGAGCCAG
rnacentral:rRNA from 1 species